rnacentral:rRNA from 1 species
UACGUAGGGGGCAAGCGUUGUCCGGAAUCAUUGGGCGUAAAGAGCUCGUAGGCGGUUUGUUGCGUCGGCUGUGAAAUCCCGAGGCUCAACCUCGGGUCUGCAGUCGAUACGAGCAAACUAGAGUGUUGCAGGGGAGACUGGAAUUCCUGGUGUAGCGGUGAAAUGCGCAGAUAUCAGGAGGAACACCGGUGGCGAAGGCGGGUCUCUGGGCAACAACUGACGCUGAGGAGCGAAAGCGUGGGGGGCGAACAGG